UGUAUAACGGGUGAUUUUUUUGAGGUUAGGAUUUUCAUGCAUUAGUAUUUGACAGAUCACGUGGGAUUUCAGACAUGGUGUCAAAGAGAAAGAUGCUCAGUAUGCUUUGACAUUUCAUCAUGAAUAGACUUACUAACGAGCAACGCUUGCAAAUCAUUGAAUUUUAUUACCAAAAUCAGUGUUCGGUUCUUUUCUUUUUUAUCGACAAAUUUUGUUCAGCGAUGAGGCUCAUUUCUGGUUGAAUGGCUACGUAAAUAAGCAAAAUUGCCGCAUUUGGGGUGAAGAGCAACCAGAAGCCGUUCAAGAACUGCCCAUGCAUCCCGAAAAAUGCACUGUUUGGUGUGGUUUGUACGCUGGUGGAAUCAUUGGACCGUAUUUUUUCAAAGAUGCUGUUGGACGCAACGUUACGGUGAAUGGCGAUCGCUAUCGUUCGAUGCUAACAAACUUUUUGUUGCCAAAAAUGGAAGAACUGAACUUGGUUGACAUGUGGUUUCAACAAGAUGGCGCUACAUGCCACACAGCUCGCGAUUCUAUGGCCAUUUUGAGGGAAAACUUCGGACAACAAUUCAUCUCAAGAAAUGGACCCGUAAGUUGGCCACCAAGAUCAUGCGAUUUAACGCCUUUAGACUAUUUUUUGUGGGGCUACGUCAAGUCUAAAGUCUACAGAAAUAAGCCAGCAACUAUUCCAGCUUUGGAAGACAACAUUUCCGAAGAAAUUCGGGCUAUUCCGGCCGAAAUGCUCGAAAAAUUUCCCAAAAUUGGACUUUCCGAAUGGACCACCUAAGACGCAGCCGCGGUCAACAUUUAAAUGAAAUUAUCUUCAAAAAGUAAAUGUCAUGAACCAAUCUAACGUUUCAAAUAAAGAACCGAUGAGAUUUUGCAAAUUUUAUGCGUUUUUUUUAAAAAAAAAGUUAUCAAGCUCUUAAAAAAUCACCCUUUAUAUACA